rnacentral:lncRNA from 1 species
AGAACUCAAAAAAAGCACAAAACACUUGCCUUCAAAGCAUAGUCAUACCAGUACCUUUAAAUUUUUCAUAUUUUCUUGCCUUUAACUCUAGUAAAUUACACAUAUUUUUUGUUUUUUUGUAUUUUCUUUUUACAGAUUAUAAAUCUGAAGGGUACAGAUUUGUUUUUAGUUGGUAAAAAAUUGUGUGUGAGAUUUAAUUGGGAAGGAGGGAUCCAUUCAUCGAUUCAAUGUACUCAAAUGUCCUGAAUAUGUGAAAGCAUCAAUUCCUCCCAGAUGUCUUUCCAUUGUGCAGCUCAGCAGGUAUCUUUUUAAAGGAAGGAAGAAGAUAAUUGUAAAUCUCGCAGAAUAUUCAGCCCAAAGCAUUGCAGCAAGCUGGUCUAAGAGAUUAUGUCUCUGAAGUUGUCGCUUCUAAGAUUUUUCUAUGGAAUGACCUCCAGGAGCAAAUGCCAUUGUAAUCACUUACUUUAUACAAGAAGUGACCCUCGUCUCUUCCUCGUAAAGCAUUCAUUUGAUUGGAUUUUGCUUUUAAAGAAGUUUGUAAAGUCCUAGUACAUGACUG